GCUCAGAGUCGGUGGCAGACUGAAGCUGGCAGACCUGAGCGACAUAGAGAAAAACCCAGUAAUCUUGCCUGGUCAGCAUCACGUUUCCACAUUGAUAUUACGACAAUAUCACGAGCUGGUUGAACACCAAGGGCGUACUUUCACAGAAGGAGCCGUUCGAAAUGCUGGUAUAUGGCUGAUAGGUGGCAAAAGAUGCAUCAGCAGCAUUCUUCACGGAUGUGUAAUUUGCCGGAGGCUUAAAGGUGAAAUGGAGAGGCAGAAUAUGGCUGACCUGCCAGAAGAACGGCUAAGCACUUCGGCACCUUUUUCCUACACAGGCCUUGAUGUUUUCGGCCCAUUUUCGGACUGUCACUGCAAGGCGCACUAGAGGAGGAACAGUCCUCAAUAAGCGUUGAGCAGUACUCUUGUACUCGUGCUGUCCACAGUGAUCGAGUCUAUGGAGGCUUCAUCGUGCGUUAAUGCUCUCCGACGGUUCUUCGCCAUUUGCGGUUCCUGCAAACAGAUGCAUUCUGACUGCGGAACAAACUUGUCGGUGCCUGCAGUGAACUUGGAUUCCAGAAAGUAAUGGCUGCACAUGGAACUUUAACCCUCCACACUCUUCACACAUGGGUGGCGCAUGGGAGCACAUGAUCGGAGUGGCACGCAGAAUCUUGGAUUCAAUGCUUAUGCGUACAGACUCCCUCAACAUUUAUCACGAUGUUCUGUGCACUCUUAUGGCUGAAAUGAUCAUCAAUUAUAGGCCUCUGGUUCCAGUUUCUAAUGAUCCAGAAUCACCCGUCAUACUUACUCCAUCAAUGCUCCUGACUCAGAAGCAGAGUGUAUCACCUCCACCAGGAAAGUUCACAGAGAAGGAUGUCUACAAACAGCAGUGGCGUCAGGUCCAAAGUUUAGCCAACCAGUUUUGGACUCGCUGGAAGCAAGAGUAUCUGCAGACACUGCAAGUUCGUCGCAUGGAUGUUGUUCUACUGAAAGACUGCAAAGCAGCUCGUAACGACUGGCCUCUGACGCUUGUCACAAGCACCUUUCCAAGCGAGGAUGGAAAAGUCCGCAAGAUAGAGCUCAAAGUGACCAAGCAGGGAUCAAGCAAGACCUUCCUCAGGCCUGUGUCUGAGAUUGUUCUUCUUCUGAAGAAGAGACACAACUGCUGAAUUUGGGAGAUUUUGAACUGCAGCGAUCUUCAGAUGAGCUACAAGACAUCCAUCAGGUAGUUACC
ensembl:lncRNA